rnacentral:rRNA from 1 species
UACGUAGGGGGCAAGCGUUGUCCGGAUUUAUUGGGCGUAAAGAGCGUGUAGGCGGCUUGGUAGGUCCGCUGUGAAAACUCGAGGCUCAACCUCGAGAUGUCGGCGGAAACCACUUGGCUAGAGUCCGGAAGAGGAGAGUGGAAUUCCUGGUGUAGCGGUGAAAUGCGCAGAUAUCAGGAGGAACACCGAUGGCGAAGGCAGGUCUCUGGGCCACUACUGACGCUGAGAAGCGAAAGCGUGGGGAGCGGACAGG